AUUGGCGACAACAACAAAUUCCAAAACUACGACGACGACUGAAUCACCAUUGACUUCGACAUUGAAUAAAAAUUCAUCAUCACCAUUAUUAUUGACAACAACUAGUAGCGGCAAUAUUGGCAGCAGCAACAGCAACAGUAGCGGUUUCAACACGGCGCCUAUCAAUAAUAAUCAUAAUAAUAAUGGAACGACGAUAUCGUCUAAUAAAUUUCAAAAAAAUUCAACAACAAUUUUUACUACUUCUACUACUUUGAAUAUCAAUAGUGGUGGUAGUAGUAGUAAUAAUAAUAAUCUAAAUCUAAAUCAUCAUUAUCAUCAACCUGAUAGUCAAUUUACUGAUUUAUUUGGUACACCAUUAAUACAGACAGGUUCAGGUUCAUCAUCUGUAUCUGCAUC